GGUAUGUAAAGCUUUAUCAGCAGGGAAGAAAAUGACGGUACCUGACUAAGAAGCCCCGGCUAACUACGUGCCAGCAGCCGCGGUAAUACGUAGGGGGCAAGCGUUAUCCGGAUUUACUGGGUGUAAAGGGAGCGUAGACGGCGAAGCAAGUCUGAAGUGAAAACCCAGGGCUCAACCCUGGGACUGCUUUGGAAACUGUUUUGCUAGAGUGUCGGAGAGGUAAGUGGAAUUCCUAGUGUAGCGGUGAAAUGCGUAGAUAUUAGGAGGAACACCAGUGGCGAAGGCGGCUUACUGGACGAUAACUGACGUUGAGGCUCGAAAGCGUGGGGAGCAAACAGGAUUAGAUACCCUGGUAGUCCACGCCGUAAA
rnacentral:rRNA from 1 species